GAUGAACGCUGGCGGCGUGCCUAAUACAUGCAAGUCGAGCGAACAGACGAGGAGCUUGCUCCUCUGACGUUAGCGGCGGACGGGUGAGUAACACGUGGAUAACCUACCUAUAAGACUGGGAUAACUUCGGGAAACCGGAGCUAAUACCGGAUAACAUGUUGAACCGCAUGGUUCAACAGUGAAAGACGGUUUUGCUGUCACUUAUAGAUGGAUCCGCGUCGCAUUAGCUAGUUGGUACGGUAACGGCUUACCAAGGCAACGAUGCGUAGCCGACCUGAGAGGGUGAUCGGCCACACUGGAACUGAGACACGGUCCAGACUCCUACGGGAGGCAGCAGUAGGGAAUCUUCCGCAAUGGGCGAAAGCCUGACGGAGCAACGCCGCGUGAGUGAAGAAGGUCUUCGGAUCGUAAAACUCUGUUAUUAGGGAAGAACAAAUGUGUAAGUAACUAUGCACGUCUUGACGGUACCUAAUCAGAAAGCCACGGCUAACUACGU
rnacentral:rRNA from 1 species